GACCAUCGUUUUUUCGUAAUAAACCAUUUUAUUAAUUUUUAUUCUCCGAAUUUCGGAGACGUUGAUCAAAAGAUCCAACUACUCACAUUACAUAUCUCACUUUUAAUCUAAAUAACACGCCUAACCGUAAUCGUUUCCUCAACACCGGCCGUCCUAGUUUCCACUUUCUCUCCAUGUUCUCUCAAAUCCUGCAACCCCAUCAAUGAACACACGUUGCAUGAAUCGUGAAAGGUCACUCCAAUCAAACCUAAACAUACAUUUUAUUCCUGUAAGCUGCGAAUCCUGCUGAUCCCUUUCCCAAAUCCUCAGUAACCCAAGAUUUUUUUAUCCAACAAGAUCAUCCUUUCUUAAAAUUUUCAAUUGUAGGCAUGCACAGACAUUAUCUUUGGCCUCAUCAUCAUUAAUUGUUGUCCAGAAGUCAGAUGCAAUGACCUCUAGACAUUAGAUUUUGACCGAUGGUCCGAUUUCUUCAACAAUCAACCUCAACCAUUAUCGUGCUAAGGUAAAAUUCCCAUUGUUUUCCCCCUCUUUUUCUUAUGUUUUUCACCUUUUUGCUAUAAUCAUCUGUCAAUCGUCAUUCUCUACUGUCGGUUGAGUUCGAACGGAACCCUAGGUGGCUUCAAUGCCACUAUAAAUAGAGCAUUCAAUUACAUCACCUAAAACAACGAAAAACUACAUUGAAAGUAAAAAAGAGUAUUAAAAGUUUAAACUUUCAACUAAGUUUAAGUUCAAGCUGUACUUCUCUAAUUUCACUUUUUUCUUCCUUUAAUUUAGGUUCGGCUUCAACCUCUGUGAGUUGAUCGUUGUGACUUCUGGGUUCUUAAAUGGAUAUUAGCACAUCUGGCUUGGUUUGCUGCUCAACAGAAGGUCAGUGUACAAUGACCCCAUCUUUAUUUUAAAUUAUUUGUGUAGUCCUAUGUUCAUGAUAUUUUCCCUGUUAAUCAUUCAUUUUUUAUGAUAUAUAUUAGUGACGUAAGACUAUACGUGCUACGUUCUCCUUCUGCAUAUCACUAUCACUGUUGAAUUAAGGAUCUUCCUGAUAAGUUAUGUUGUCUUGUUACUGUUAUCAAAUCAGUUAUAUUAAUGAACUCCGUCUCUCAUGACUUAGGUAGUUGAGAAUGUUUUCUAUAUUGUUAGUACUCUUAAAUCCUAUUAGGACUUGGUGAUUAAUUGAACUAAAUCUUGUGAUAAUAGUACUAUGUAUGAUCUUUUCUUGUUAAUUAAGUAAUAGUCAAGUGUAUAUUGUUACACCCCAUGUUUUUGUACAUGAAUGUACGCCAUAAGUAAAUUGAUGGAAGCUCGGAAAUGAGAUGUUACAUCUCGCAUUUUCGUAUGUUAAAGUUUCGUCGUCAGUUAAUUGGUGUAGAAUCGGGGAUGAGAUUUUCUUGAGAUUAUAAGCAUAUAUGCUAUUUACAACAAGCAAUAAGUAACUGCCGUGAAAGAUAAAGGGUAAAUGAAUCAAAGAAAAUGAGUUUCAUUGAAGGUUGUUGAUUUGGGAUAAAAUAUAAUCCGAGCAAUAACACUCGGUACUUAUGGACUAAUGUCAUACAAGGUACUAUAUGACCGUGAUAGUAAGGUGUACAAGGUAUGUUAAAAGUGAAUAGUAUUUUAAGUAAGUUAAGAUAAUUCUUAAUUAUGUGGGUAAUGGGAUAUUACCUAAUUAAUUAGGAAUAUAUUGGAUGAGGAUUAAAAUUGCAUUAUGUGGCAGACCCCCCCCCCCUCUCCCCCCCUUCAAAUUAAGUGACUCAUAGAUCUAGUUGAAAGGUGGCAAGCUAAAGUGUUAAAUACAAGACACUACAUCCCUCUACGUGUAAAGACAUAAACGAUCUAGUAAUCUUAUAAUGUUUUCCUAUUGCAAAUAUUACAAAAAAGACGUUAAGAAUAUAUAAAGAAAAUUCAUAACAUCUUCAACCAAUUCCUAGAAGGAUUCCAGCGUUAGCAACCUCAAACCAACGAGAUUUCAACAAGAUUUCUUGAAACAAAAAUUCCAACGAGAAUUCUUAGCACCUUAGCAACGUGAGAUUUUGCGAUUCUAAGGGAGUACAGUGCAAACUUUUCCUACAAUAUCAUACGAAUUUUUUCCUACUCCGGGUAUGUUAAGGCUAAGCCCUUCCUUCAUUUUGGCAUGAUCUCAUAAUUACAUGUAUUUGAUAACGAGGCAUGACGAGAAGUUCAUACUCCUGAAUUUAUAUACAUUAUCCUAAUCUUAUAAAUUACAGUAUUCUCCUUAUCGGGACUUCAUAUUUAAUUGAGUAAUGUCGUCUUCCAGUCAAGAGAGAAGAGAGCCUAUAUUUAUACUAUUACGGUAUUUUCAUUACCAUCGAGCUAUAAUCGAUAGGCAGGCCCCUAUUGGGCAACCUCUGAUCAGAUAGUAAGUUAUAUACCAAGCCUACUGUGGUCGAGCGUCUAUGAGCGAGCCCAGCUGGCCGAGAUACAGAGCCUAGUAUGGCUGAGCGCCUAUGAGCGAGCUUACUAUGACAGAGCAGUUGUAUAUAUACCGAGCCUUAUUGGGCCGGAAAACUAUUUUACUUACUAUAUUGAGAGAGUUGAGUCAGUAUCAGCAAGUAAGCAUAUCUUCAGACUAUCUUUGACUCCUAGUUACUUUCAGUUAUUAUAUUAUCAAUUCAGUUCAACUUUCAGUAUAUAUUGCCUUACAUACUCGGUACAUUACUUGUACCGACAUCCCUUUUGCCUGGGGACGCUGCGUUUCAUGCCCGCAGGUCUCGAUAGACAGGUCGAGAGUCCUCCAAGUAGGCGAUCAGCUCAGCGAAAUAUGUUGGUGCACUCCAUUUGCUCUAGAGUUUUUUUUUUGGUCAAUAUGAUUUAGAUAUGUAUUGUUUGGUAUGGCGGGGCUCUGUUCCUACCCUUAUGACAUUAUGUAUUCUUAGAGGCUUGUAGAAAGAUGUCAUGUACGUAAAAGAUUGUAUGGUCUUGUCGGCCUAUGUUCAGUGUACGAGUGGUUAUUUUGGUCUUACAGGCCCAUAUGUCUUAUGUAUAAGUUGGUAUUACAUGUUGUAUUCUACCUAUCACACGGCAUCUCUCCGGCUCAGUAAUCUAUGAUAGUAUAAUACGAAAACAUACGUUAUAUUGGUACUCGGUUGAGUAAGGUACCAAGUGCCCAUCGCGGCCCAUCGAUUUGGAUCGUGACAUAUAUUUUCAUGAUGACUAAGUUGAAGGAAUCGAGCUUUUGGACCCGUCUUGAAGUUCUGCUGAUACCCGCUGCACUGUGCUAUCUUGAUCCUUAUGUCUAUGAUAUUAUGCUGCAUUAUUUUAGUUCCAAUAAAAUGAGUUUUCACCGUUGUUCAUACUUUCAUAUUGAUUUGUUUGACUCUAGUUGACAGCUUGUUCAUGCUACUAUUGUAAAAUAAUUUAUGUAUGUUUCUUAUGAUGAUUUGAGAUAAAAAAGAAAUCACAUAAUGAAAUUUGUUGGUGUGCUCACAUAUCAGGAGGUAGCUUGUUGGGAUUAACUUGUGUCUAUACUCAUCAUGCUGCUUGUACUAGUCCAGUAAUGUUCAUGAAUCUUCACAUUCUCUUAGUUUAGAAAAAUUCAUGUUUAAAUCAUCAUGUUUGCUUUCCUUUAGUCUCACGUUGAUCUUCCCAAAUGGUUAUGCCUGUUCUACUAUGCUAAUCGAGUUGUUUAGUUAAAGAGCCUCAAAUAGCAGUCAUGCUAGGUCUUAUAUUGGUUAUGUCUGGCAGAAAGAAAAUGGUUUCUAUGUUUAUCAUGAUAACCUAGUGAGGAUGUGGGUACAUCUUAACCUAGGGCACCACAGUAAUCAUACUUGUUCAUUUCAAACGAUGUUCUUCAUUCAUCUACCUGUUUAUUUUGGCUAUUUAUGCUUGUUAGUUCUUUCAGGAUCAUGUUAUGUCUAAGACACUAUUUGGGGGGAAGAUUAAAUAUUGCUAAAUUGAGUACUGCCGAUCUUAAUAACUUAACAACUUGAUUAAGUGUCGUUGAACAUGUAUUAUGCCUGUAUGGUCUAAAAUGGAAAGUGUAUUGGUGUAAUCUGCUAGUGAAAUUGCUUACAUGUUUAAGUAAACUUGUUGUGAUUUGUUUGCCCGGCUUUAACCAUCUGAGAGUAAAUAUCUUUACUUGUUGUCUCAUGUCUGUAUGACAUUGCUGUUUAUAGAGGACACUAAUCAUUAAUCUGAAGUUGUGUGGAACUGAUAACUUGAAAACCUGAUAGACUACAACUAGAUGUCAUGCCAUUAGGCCUAAACAACACUAAAACUAACCUUUCUAUUUACAUUUAGGCCUCUGCUGGUUGAUAUCUCUUUGGGAAGUCUGAAUUAGGUUGUUAAUAUAAGUGUUUAGUAAAGAAGGGUCUCAGUUAUGUAUAUGCUUGCUCCAAACUAUUCUGAGACCGUAGAGCUGCCUAUUGACCUACUCUAUGUGACUUGAACCUGUUUCAAAAGAUCCUGAAAUGUUUAACCUUCAAUAGAGUUAAUGAAACUAAUACAUAUGUCCUUCUUUGUCACUCACUGAUAUUAAGAUUACUUAAUGAGGUGUCUUUGAAUUUGAAGUGGUUAGCAAUAGGGCUUAUCUAUCGAUAGCAUACAGUCAACCUUCUUUGUUUGUCACUAAUCCUUAAUUGUGUUCUAUUAUUGAUCCUAUUUUGUGUACACCAAGACCUUAGUUGCCAUCAGAAUUUUAAUGAGCCAUGUUUAGUAACCUAUCCUUAUUAUUAUAACGACCCAACCAGUCGUUUUGAGAAUUUACAUUCCGUUCAGCUAUUUGAAGUCUUGAUCAGCAUCGUACGAUAUUUUAUGACUUGUGUGAAUCGUUAGUUUUUAUUUUUAGGUUAUUCAGAAUUGAUUUGGAAGACUGAUCUUAACUAGGAAGCUUUAAGCUGGAAGAGUUGAGCAAGUUUGACUUCUUAGUACUUGACCUCUGAUCAUAGUUUUGAUGUUUCCGUUAGGUCCAAUGGUGAUUUUAGACUUGGUCAUAUGCUUGGAUUUGAAUUUGGAUAUUUCUAGAAGGUUUCAACACUAUUUAGCGAAAGUUGGAAAUUUGAAGAUUUGAAAUGUUCAUAAGUUUAACUGGUAGUUGACUUUGAUGAUAUCGGGUUCGGAUUGUGGUUCCGGGAAUUGGAAUAGCUUCGUUAUUUUAUUUUGGACUUGUGUGCAAAAUUUAAGUUCAUUCUCAAUUGAUUUGAUUAGGUUCGGCACGAGUUUUGUUCUACGUUAUUUGAGGCCUCGAGUAAGUCUGUGUUAUGUUACGGGGCUUGUUGGUUUGUUCGGAUAGGGUCCCGAGGGGCUCAUGUGAGUUUCUGAUAGGCUUGGGUUCUGUUGCGCUCAUUUUUAAUAUUUCGACGUCGUUUAUUCUAGCAUAAAUGGUACCACAUUAAGAAACUGAGCUCCAAUUUCUGUUUUGAUUGAAGAAUUAGAUCCGUAUCAUAAUUCUAGAACAUAGAAACUAGAAUCAUCAAGUUUUGACAUCGUAUGAGGAAUUUAUAGUCAUUUCACUAUGAAUUGGGUUGACAAUUAUUUAUAGAUUAAUUACGAAAUUGCCACUGAUUUCGUAUUUAAAAAUCUGCACUAUUUUCAAAUAUUGAAACAUUAUAAGGUCAUUAUAAGGUCAAAUGGAGUGAUUUAAAAGCCUAACUUGACUGGAAUUGCACAAGAAAACCAUUGGAGGCAUCAAAAGCGAAUUCCGGGAUCGUUUGUCAUAAGAAACGAGGCAGAACAACUAGGUAGAAACAUAUAGUAUCAUGGAUUUGUCCAUUUGGUCAUAUUUUGACUUGGGGAGGUCGGAUUUGGGCGAUUGUGGAGGCGAUUUUCACCACAUGGAUUGGGUUUUGAGUCGUUCGGAGAAUGGUACGCAUGGGAUGGCAUUUCUAGAGUAUUGUUUAGCUUGCUCGGUAUUGGAUUUGGCUUGUUCGAGGUAAGUAACACUUCAAAACUUGGUACUGAGGGUAUGAAUCCCUAAAUAUACAUGUUAUGUAUUAGUAUUGAGGUGACGCACAUGCUAGGAGAUGGGUGUGUAGGCUUGCACCAUGUGAAUUAUGACUCGGUUGAUUCUAUGGUACUGUGUAGUUAUCUAUCUUGUUUCUUUACAUGUAAUUCCUAUGUGUUGGAGUAAUUGAGUUGUGAUCAAUGUUAGAAAUCAUGUUUAGGUCAAAUAAUUAUUUUAUUAGGACCCAAUGAGGUCAUUUCUGCUGUUGAGUUAUUUGCUUAAAUUGCAAUCAAAUACUCAGUCAUAUUCAUUUAUUUGCAUAUCAUAUCUCAGUCUAUGUUAUCAUUUGUUGUCACAUCAUCUUAUCAUUUUUUAGGCUAAUUGGCAUGAGAUCUUUGAGCCCAAUAGACUGGAGUGAUUGAUGACUGAGUGAGGCUGAGGUCCUGAUUAUGAGUGAUAUUUAUGGGAUCUGGCUGCACGCCGUAGCAUGAUUUAUUGAUUCAUGAUGGGAUCGGGAUGUACGCUGCAGCAUGCCAUGAUUGUCUUAUAUUAGCGAUUGGGCAGGAUCCUCCCCUUCGGAGUCAAACAUACGAGUGCAAGUGCCAAGUGAUUGAGAGUGCCGAGUGAUUGGGAGGUGCUUAGUGAUUGAGAGUGGUGAGUGAUUAGGAGGUGCCGAUUGCUGAGUGUGGUUGAAUACUCCGAGAGUAUGAACAUAUGAGUUAUCACUGUGGUGCAUUACAUUUGACAUGUGUACUGGACAUGGAGGCACAAAGAUGCAUUUCCUCAUGUUAUACGGUAUUGUGAUGUUUAUGACUUUUCAUACACAUUGACAUGUAGGCAUAGAGAUGUACUUUCCUCAUGCUAUCUGAUAAUGGAACAUCUUAUCUAUUGUCGAAAGUUUCUUAGGAAAAAUAAAUGUUUUUAUGACGUACUCGCAUUUUGGCGACUUCGGUGAAAGAUUCGUGUUUUACUGUUAUACCUUAAAAGCAUGCUAUUUUCCAUAACUAUGAGCGAGCUGAGAAACAUAUCUUUGAAUAUUACUUGUGUUGUUUCAUUAUACUGGUACGAGUUGUUCUUGGCUAUUGGUAUUAGACUCUGACCGUUGUCCAAGCUCGUCACUGCUUUCAACCUAAAAUUAGGUUUAUUACUUAUUGAGUACGCGUGGUCCAUUGCACUCAUACUACACUUCUGCACCCCGCGUGUAGAAUUUGGAUUUGAUGUUGGUGUGCAUGGCGGAAGCUGGCAUUGAAGAUGUACCUGCGUUCCGGUUGUAGGUGCCUCUUGUUCACGGUUGCGUUAGAUUUAUAAAAACAAAUUAUGUAUAUUUCGAACAUAUGAUGUAAUUAUUUCAUACCAACUUUGUAAACUCUAAAUUUUAGAAGCUCACGAUUUGUACUACAAAUCCUUGUGAUUUUUGUAUAAAAGUUCAGUUAUUUUAUCAUUUAUUUUUUCAGUAGAUCUGCUUGAGUUGGAUUAUUAAUAAAUUGGCUUACCCAGCGGGUUGGGUUAGGUGGCAUCAUGACUAGUUGGAUUUUGGGUCGUGACAAUUAUGUUGUGUUCUAUCAAGAGUAUUUCAAGUCCAAUAAUGUGUAAAAACCUUACUUGUCUAUCGAUCAGUAUACCAGUAAUGGCUGUAAGGCCAGAUAUGAUAGUUUGAUUGAUGUUUUCUUGUAUGGUUGACUCUUCUUUAUAUGUUUUGUUACAUUAGUUGAGCUAUUGUAUUAACAUUUAUUUGUGUCUAAAACUUUGAGGAGUAGGGAGUUAAUGAUUAAUGGUACUUGGGUGCGAGCUUGGUUUGUGGCAUAAGCAUUGCUCGGGAUCCCUAAGACACUUGUGAACUCUGAAGUGUUAGGGGUCCAUAGGCGACUUCAUAAAUAAAAUUUGGUUCACCCUAAGCCUUUGGUCAUUAACCUCAACUAAUCUUCAUUGGGUUGGAACAAAUGAAAUUUAAAUCUUACACUUUGGAUCUUAUUUACUUGUUCUGAUUUGAUCUUAUUUUCACCUUAUAUUGAUAUACAUUAAUUUUCCUCUUGUUCUUAUGUAUGCAUGUUCAAACAGGGCCUGUUCAGUUCAUUUGGAACUCAGGCCCAUAUUCCAGACCUGGGCCGCUUCCUCUACACUUGUUGAGUCAGCCGCUAAUUUAAACCUCACUGGGCCUCGCCUGCUUACUAGCCGUAUUCCACAAGUCCAGCUUUUCUUCCUCUACUUUUAAUGAUAGCCGCUAUUAUUUGUUGCUUCUGUGUAUGUACAUCUUUGGAAAACUAACACUAUUUAUUGAUGCUUACCGCUAACGAAUUUCAAUGGCUUUAAGUUUUGACAGAUUCAAAAUGAAUAAAUCUCCUUGGAAAAUCUUCAAAUGGAUCCCGUAUAAUACAAAAUCAUUUCAAAAUAAAAGCAGUCAC
rnacentral:lncRNA from 1 species